UACAGAGGUCCCGAGCGUUGUUCGGAUUCACUGGGCGUAAAGGGUGCGUAGGCGGCGAGGUAAGUCGGAUGUGAAAGCUCGGAGCUCAACUCCGAAAUGGCAUUGGAAACUACCUUGCUCGAGGGUUGGAGGGGGGACUGGAAUGCUUGGUGUAGCAGUGAAAUGCGUAGAUAUCAAGCGGAACACCAGUGGCGAAGGCGAGUCCCUGGACAACUCCUGACACUGAGGCACGAAAGCUAGGGGAGCAAACAGG
rnacentral:rRNA from 1 species